rnacentral:rRNA from 1 species
UACGGAGUGAGCUAGCGUUGUUCGGAAUUACUGGGCGUAAAGAGUACGUAGGCGGUUAUUCAAGUCAGAGGUGAAAGCCUGGAGCUCAACUCCAGAACUGCCUUUGAAACUAGAUAACUUGAAUCACGGAGAGGUUAGUGGAAUUCCGAGUGUAGAGGUGAAAUUCGUAGAUAUUCGGAAGAACACCAGUGGCGAAGGCGACUAACUGGACGUGUAUUGACGCUGAGGUACGAAAGCGUGGGGAGCAAACAGG